UCCUUCGGGGCAGGGUGAAAUUCCCAACCGGCGGUGAUGAGGGUGACCUCUUAGUCCGUGACCCGGGCUCAGGAAUGAGAACGGUGGAUUUGGUGUAAUUCCAAAGCCGACAGUAUAGUCUGGAUGGGAGAAGGA
rnacentral:ncRNA from 1 species